rnacentral:lncRNA from 1 species
AUUGAUUUGAAUAAACCUGAAUUAACAUGCGAGAACACCAUAGAAAGCAAAUAAAAAAAAUUAUGGAGCCUAAUUUUCAAUAAAUUCAAUAUUGAAUGAUGAUAUUGGAAAAAAAACAAUAUAAAAAGGAUAAAAAAAAUGACCCGAGUCAACCCAGGUUAACCUCCAAUAGAAAGCAAAUUGAAAUAACUUAUGAAUCUUAAUUCUCAAUCAACAUAGUGUUAAAAAAUAAAAAUGAAAAAAAAAUCAAUUAAACACAAGGACACC